rnacentral:lncRNA from 1 species
GGAGGCUGAGGCAGGAGAAUGGUGUGAACCCGGAGGUGGAGCUUGCAGUGAGCCAAGAUCGCGCCACUGCACUCCAGCUUGGCCGACAGAGCAAGACUCUGUCUCAAAAAAAAAAAAAAAAAAAAUAGAGGAAGUGUGGUUUGAGCUGAGAAUUAGGGAUAACUGGGAGUUAGGCUGAUAAAGGAAGGGAAGUGGUGAUUGGAGGAGAAAUCCUCUGUCCUUGUCUGAGAUUACCCUGUGUUAGGGCAGUGGCUGACCCUUUUCUGGGAUCACCCAAAAUGGGAUAGUGGGUGGGUGAGACAUGUGGACUGUCAAAACUAGUAGAUUCUGAAUCCUGUCUCUGCCAUGUCCUGCUGUGUGGCCUUGGGCAAUUUACUUGUCUCUCUGUUGCUUCUGAUAGAAAAGGAGGGUAGUGAGGGAGAUUCAAGUUGAAGACAGACAGAGUUAAUCAUGUUUAAAGUGUUGGCUUUGGCUGCUGUGUGGAGAUUGGAUUAGAGCGGGGGUGUUAAGGAAGAGGGAGGGAUUUGGGUUCCUGGUGAGAAUCAAAGUGGCUGGGGCCAGGGUUUGGUGUUGUGGGUGGGGAAGAAUAGAAAGUGAUCUUUUUUUUUUUUUUUUUUGAGACUGAGUCUUGGUCUGUUACCCUGGCUGGAGUGCAAUGGUGUGAUCCCGGCUCACAGCAACUUCCGCUUCCGGGAUUCAAGCAGUUCUGCCUGAGCCUCUUGAGUAGCUGGGAUUACAGGCAUGAGCCACUAUGCCCGGCUAAUUUUUGUAUUUUUAGUAGAGAUGGGGUUUCACCAUCAAGGCCAGGCUGGUCUCAAACUCCUGGUCUCAAGUGAUCUGCCCGCCUCCGCCACUCGAAGUGCUGGUAUUAUAGGUGUGAUUAGAAGUGAAAAUUAAUUGGACUUGGUUGGUGAGGGAGUGGUCAAAGGUAACUCCCAGGUUUCUGGCUUCUGUUAUUAUGAGUAAAACAGAAGAGUGACUGAACUUCAUUAAUAUAUUUUCCAUUUGUUGUGGUCAUGCAAAAAAAUGUUUUCCAUCUGUUCCAUUUAAAGAUGAAUAACAAAAAUAAACCCUUAUUUACUCUGUAGGGAUAAAUCUUUUUGAGAAAAAGAGAAAAAGAAGAAAUAUCAAUAAACGUGUGUGAAAAGGUGUCUACCAAUGUAGAAGAGACCACACUGGGUGGGGUGGUGUCCCAGAUCCCAGACUGGCCAAGAUUUAAAAGUCCAUCCCUGGGGAGCUGGCAGGAAGUGGAGGAACCAAUAGGAGCAGCGUUCUGAAUGUUGAGCUGUGCACAUCCCACGAGACAGCAAUUCUGUCCUGGGUAGGUGUCCUGGAGAAACUUGGCACAUGUCCAGGAGGAAAGCACCAAACGUGUACAAAGUGGCAUUGUUUAAAUAGCCAGACAUGGAAACAGCCCCAAAUGUUGAUUGACAACAGAAAAGAUAAAAUGUCGCAGGGCACGGUGGCUCAUGCCUGUAAUCCCAGCACUUUGGGAGGCCGAGGCGGGCAGAUCAUGAGGUCAGGAGUUCGAGACCAGCCUGACCAACAUGGUGAAACCCCAUCACUACUAAAAAUACAAAAAUUAGCUAGGUGUGGUGGUGCACACCUGUAAUCCCAGCUACUCAGGAGGCUGAGGCAGGAGAAUCUCUUGAACCUGAGAGGCAGAGGUUGCAGUGAGUCGAGAUCGUGCCACUGCACUCCAGCCUGGGCGACAGAGGGAGACUCUGUCUCAAAAAGACAAAAAGAGAGAAGAUAAAAAGUCAAUUGUUUCAUGAUUGGAAUCGUAUACAGCAAUGGAAAUAACCAGUUGUAAUAUGCAACAGAUUAAAUGAAUCUCACAGACAUAAAGCUGGACAAAAGAUGCAAAUCACAAAAGAAUACAUAGGAUCCAACAUAUCUUUUAUGUAUAUAAAGUUGAAAUUAGGCAAAACUAAACUAUAUGAGGGAUAAAACUAUGAAGAGGAAAUGAGUAUCAAAAAAUUCAGGGAGACCAGGUGCAGUGACUCAUACCUGUAAGCUCAGCACUUUGGGAGGCCAAGGUAAGAAAGAUUGCUUGAGCCCAGGGGUUUGCAACCAGCCUGAUCAACAUAGGGAGAUUCUAUCUCUAGAAAAAAUUUAAACAUUAGCUUUGUGUGGUGGCACAUGCCUGUACUCCCAGCUACUUGCGAGGCUGAGUUGGGAGGCUCACUUGAGCCAGAGUGUGAGGCUGCGGUGAAUUACAAUGCUGCCACCGCACUCCAGCCUGGGUGGGAGAACAAGACUCUGUCUGUAAAUAAACAAACAAAAACCAACAAACAAACCCAACAACUCAGUUUCCUUUGGUGACAAAGGAAUGGGAAUUAUGAACAGGGAAGGUAUGGGGUGGGGUGGGGAGAUCCUGGUCAUAGUCCAUUUCUUGAUCCGGGUGGUGGUUUCUUCAGUGUUCAAUUCUGUAAUUAUUCUUUAGGUCAUAGCUCUCUGUUUUAAACACUGAUUUAAGCACUGUUUAAGCUUUCUGUUUAAAGCACAGAUUUUCACUGGUUACUUAACUUCAUGUCGUUAAUUUUUGUUCUGUCUGAUCUUGAUUAGUUGUUUCACAAAUUCAUGUUUUUUCACUUGUGUUCUGAAAAAAAUUUUAUUUAGUCCUUUGAUUUUUUUUUUUUUUUUUGUGAGACUGAGUCUCGCUGUAUCACCCAGGCUGGAGUGCAGUGGCGUGAUCUCGGCUCACUGCAACCUCUGCCUUCCAGGUUCAAGCGAUUCUCCUGCCUCAGCCUCCUGAAUAGCUGGGUUACAGGCACCUGCCACCAUGCCCAGCUAAGUCUUUUUUUUUUUUUUUUUUUUUUUUGGAGAGACGGGGUUUCACCAUGUUGGCCAGGCUGGUCUUGAACUCCGGACCUCAAGACCUCAAGUGAUCCACACGCCUCGGCCUCCCAAAGUGUUGGGAUUACAGGCGUGAGCCACGGAGCAAGCCUAGUCCUUUGAUCUUAAAGUUAUCAGAAACUUGUCCUAAGAGUACUUGGUAAUGUCUUUACCAUGAAUCUGAUUGGAAACGUUUUUAGGGAAGGACAACACUGUGGAUGACAGAGACUUUGAAUAGCCAUUCUUAAAAAUAUGAUUGAAGUUCAGACCUGACAUGGAGGUUCACACCUGCAAUCCUAGAACUUUGGAAAGAACUUUGGGAGGACAGCUUCAGACCAGGAAAUGCAGACCAGCCUGGGCAACAUAGCAAGAUCUCAUCUGCAUAAAAAAUAAAAACAUGGCCGGGUGCGGUGGCUCACGC